UUAUGGCCAUAUCAUAUUGAAACACUGGUUCUCAUAUGAUCACCAAAGUUAAGCAAUGUCAAGCCUGGUCAGUACGUAGAUGGAUGACCACUUAGGAAUAUCAGAUGUU